rnacentral:rRNA from 1 species
AUUGAACGCUGGCGGCAGGCUUAACACAUGCAAGUCGAGCGGGGUGAUGGUGCUUGCACUAUCACUUAGCGGCGGACGGGUGAGUAAUGCUUAGGAAUCUGCCUAUUAGUGGGGGGCAACAUCUCGAAAGGGAUGCUAAUACCGCAUACCUCCUACGGGAGAAAGCAGGGGAUCACUUGUGACCUCGCGCUAAUAGAUGAGCCUAAGUCGGAUUAGCUAGUUGGUGGGGUAAAGGCCUACCAAGGCGACGAUCUGUAGCGGGUCUGAGAGGAUGAUCCGCCACACUGGGACUGAGACAUGGCCCAGACUCCUACGGGAGGCAGCAGUGGGGAAUAUUGGACAAUGGGGGGAACCCUGAUCCAGCCAUGCCGCGUGUGUGAAGAAGGCCUUAUGGUUGUAAAGCACUUUAAGCGAGGAGGAGGCUCUUUUGGUUAAUACCCAAGAUGAGUGGACGUUACUCGCAGAAUAAGCACCGGCUAACUCUGUGCCAGCCGCCGCCGUAA